UACGGAGGGUGCAAGCAUUGAUCGGAAUUACUGGGCGUAAAGGGCGCGUAGGCGGCUAUGAAAGUCAGAUGUGAAAUUCCGGGGCUCAACCCCGGAGCUGCAUUUGAAACUUCAUGGCUAGAGGUUAGUUAGGGAAAACGGAAUUCCACGUGUAGCGGUGAAAUGCGUAGAUAUGUGGAAGAACACCAGUGGUGAAGACGGUUUUCUGGGCCAUACCUGACGCUGAGGCGCGAAAGCAUGGGGAGCAAACAGG
rnacentral:rRNA from 1 species